rnacentral:rRNA from 1 species
AUGCAAGUCGUACGAGAGCUUUUAGCUCUAGUGGCGGACGGGUGAGUAACACGUGAGAAUCUGCCCUUAGGAGGAGGAUAACAGCUGGAAACGGUUGCUAAUACUCCAUAUGCCGAGAGGUGAAAGGAUUUAUCCACUUAAGGAGGAGCUCGCGUCUGAUUAGCUAGUUGGUAGGGUAAUAGCCUACCAAGGCGACGAUCAGUAGCUGGUCUGAGAGGAUGAUCAGCCACACUGGGACUGAGACACGGCCCAGACUCC